rnacentral:misc_RNA from 1 species
CCGAAAUUAGUAACAAGUGUAAUUUUAUAAAUUUGCAUUCUUUGUUUGAGGCAAUUUAAAACUGAAAAUCUGGCCGUUUGGGAAGACUCUUAACUGGAUGGGCCAUACAUAUCCAAAUGAUUUCAAUUAGGCCCUUCCAGAGACCAGAACUGCCUCUAAAAUAUCGUCUAAAACGCAGAUUGAAACGUUCAUGUUAUCAUGAAGGGAUCUUAUGCCACAUAACGAAAGUUACUUGUACAUAAAACAAUUCAAAAUUUGUGAAAAGAAAUUUCCCCGAACGAUUUGCUGAUGUCAUCUUUUCUUGAACUUCUUGGACUUCUUAUCCUUUAUGCCUAAAUAUUUUUCAAUCUCUUCCUCACCAUCUCCUCCACCCCUCCUCUUCUUGCCACCGGAUUCUUUAAUUUUCAUCUGGGAAAUUCUUUUCGCUUCAGUGACACGCUCCAGCAGAAGCAAGACUUCCUCUUCUUCAGCGGGAAAUUCAGGUAACUUCUUACCAAUAAGCUUCUCUAUCAGUAGAUACCACUCCAGUUCAUAUUGAUUCACAAGCGAGAUUGCAACCCCAGAACGUCCUGCACGAGCAGUUCUUCCAACACGAUGAAUGUAAUCCUUCGAGUUUGUAGGGAUAUCAUAAUUAAUAACCAUAUCCACAGACGGAAUAUCAAGUCCUCUACUUGCCACAUCAGUGCAUAUAAGAAUAUUGCACUCUCCAGCUUUGAACUUAUUUAAGGCUCCCAGUCUCUUUGACUGAGUCAUAUGACCAUUAAUUGGGAUGGCCCUUAAACCAAGAUUUCGGAGGACCAGGGCCAAAAAAGUAGUUGCAUCACAUGUUCGAGUAAAAACCAUGGAAGUACUUCCAGACAUCUCAGUCAGAAUGUACACAAGGUAGCAAUCCUGUAAUCAUGACAAAUAAAAAAGAACCCGACAAGUUGUUAAAUCAGCAGCCAGAAAAUGAAGCAGCCCUUGGUUCAUUGAGCAUAAAUUGUGAGACAAGAAAUAAUCUUGAAUGACCAAAAAUGAUCCAUGGUAUUGAGUGUCGACUAUUAUGUACAUAAUGUAGCCCAACAAAUCAUCUAAAAUUCAAUAUGCAUGUUACAGUUGGAACUAGCAGAUCAUCAUGAUCAACUACAGAUAAAUGCAAACAAAAAAUCAGAGUUUAUUUCACCUUAAACUUUUACCUUGCCCAUAGGAAAUAAAAAACUUCACAUGUAAAUCUUGCCGAACAUUAUAUGCAUGAGUUGAGAUGUAUUAAAAAUCUAUUUUCUUUCCUCCAUAAAGUAUAAUUUGACAUGAGGAAUAUAAAUUUUUUACCUCAUCCUUCCACUAGGAUCUUCACAGACUCACGUGAUAGAACGCAUGAUGCAUGCUUUUACAAAACUUUGUUUUCUUCAACAGCUUCAGAUAAAAAUGCAUAUAAUUUUAGGCGUUCAUCAUUUAUUAAACUUUUCACUAAGAAUAACUUCUCCAUAACUAUUAAUGAACGACCACCAAUUACCAGUACCUCUUUUCUAAUCAACAACAUCUACGGAAGUAAUCCAUCAAUUGAAAAAGGACAAACCUUGUACUUGGCAGGAAUAAAGCGAUAUUGCUGCUUCAAUGUGUCAACUGUGGAAUAUUUGGAUGCUGCUUCUAUCUUCACUGGAUUCCUUAGACAUGCCCUCUGAAGCUUUUUCACCUUUUUUGUCAUAGUUGCAGAAAAUAAAUAUGUUUUUCGAUCCCGUGGUAUAACCUUUAGAAUUUCAUCAAGUGAUUUCUCAAAAUCCUCAUUCAAUAACCUGUCUGCCUCAUCUAAAACCAAGUAUUUCAAUGUGCGGAGAGAAAAACCUUUUGUGUUUGACAAAUGAUCCACCAGGCGCCCAGGGGUCCCAACAAUGAUGUGUGGCCGCUUUCCAAGUGAUAUAGCCUGUUGCACCAUAUCUACCCCACCAACAAGCUAUUAAAAAAGGGGCGAAAUGAAAUUCUAUUAGUGACAAAAUUUAAUGGCAAAGUAAAAACAAAAUAAUAUAAUAGUUUUGUAAAUGUGAGAAAUAGUUAAAUCAUAAAACUUAUUCUAUGAACAUCGUAUCAGUUCAGAGUAAAUGCCUACGACAGCACAUUUCACACCAAUGCCAGAUCCUAAAGCUUCAAACUGCUCUGCUAUCUGAAUUGCCAACUCCCUUCAAUAAUAGGAAAAGAUAAUAUAAAUAACCCUAUCUAUAGGUAUAUAGAAUUCUUAAUUAAAUGAAACAGCUACUGUUUCACAAUCAAACAAAAUGAGGUAGGCAGAAAACCUUGUAGGAGACAGCACGCAAGCGAAGAAAGCUUGCACGGAUUUUUCUGAAGCUUCAAGAAGCGAUUGUAAUAUGGGAAGAGCAAAAGCUCCUGUUUUACCUGACCCCGUUUGCGCAAGACCGAUCAAGUCUUUGCCUUCGAGAGCAUGAGGAAUUGCUUCGACCUGUAUCUUGGUAGGGUUUUUCCAUCCCAAACUGUCACACGCUUCCAACAAUUGUUCGCAUAUCCCCAAAUCCUUAAAUGUCUUCACUUCUUCUUUCUCUUCUGCCAUUUUUCAGCUUCUAAUAUGCUGAAGUCAAGGAAGCUCAGCUGCGUGAUGCAGGCCACGGUUGUGCGUGAAUAAUACUUAACGGCGGCGAAGAAGAAGGAGAACGUCCCGGCUUUAGUAGGGUUUUUG